UAUUGCUUUCCCUCAGAAAUUCGAUAAAAUUUCAAUGACACAGAAAAGAUUAACAUGGUUCCAAUGCAAGGAUAACACGCACAAAUCAACAAACAGUCCAAUUAUUU